CUCAACGAGUAAGAUUGACUAAACGCUUAAAAGUUAUUCUUACUAUGGGCGGUACGUAAAGAAACUUACGUAUGUUUACCUGUCAAACUCGGGGAAGCCAAUAGCGCGGUAAUCCCGAACCAAGCUCCAGAAAUGGAGAAGGUGUAGAGACUGGAAGGCAGGUACCCUAACAGUAAAGCUGAGGGUAAAGGGACAGUCCAGACCACAAACUGGUUAAUCCAGGCAGUGAAAACUGUAGAUGGUAAGCAUAA
rnacentral:ncRNA from 13 species